CAGAUCCUCUGUUUCCCGCUCCCUCUGCCCCUACACCACCACCCCCCAUCUCAAAAGUAAACAUUUCUAAAAAGAGAAAUGGGGGUUGAAGCAGGUUGCAAGGAUCUGUGGAGUAAGAGUGGGUACUGAGAGAGACAAUAAUUAUAAAUAGCUUUUUUCAAGAAAUGUGUACUCAGAAGAGUAACAAGGAGCUCAGAGGUAGGAGGGGGCUGGGAGUAAAGGCUGGAAGACAGGACACAUGGUUUAUUUCUCUGGGAAGCAUUGAGUAUGCCCAUGGCCUGGGCAAAGGAGGCAGGAGAGAGUGUGUCUAACUUAGCUUCCCGGAAGAGGUAAGAGACGAUGGGGUGGGAAGUGCCAAGGAGCGGGUGAGCUGUGAAGAGUGAUGGGUCGUCCUCUUUCCCAAAAGCAGUAGAGGAGAGGAUGGGUGAGACCUUCCUGGGUGAGGAUGGGGCAUCCCAGCUGUGGUGGCUUCUCAGCAUGGCAUGUUCUUUAAGAGAUUUUCUGUUCUAUUUACUCUCCGUAAGUGAAGUUUAUAAAAUGUCUCCUUUAGGGUUGAGGAGGUUGGAUUUCAAAGCAGUGCAUAUAGAGGAGACCUCUUCCUUCCAACUGUUCAAGGCUAGAUGGUAGAGAUCACUCUCCCAAGAGACAAUCUGUAGUCUCUCUUGUGGUUGGUGUUAUAGGUGUUAACAGACAAAAGAAUAAACAAUGUAUGUAGGAGGCUAUCUUUCUGGAAGAUUUCUGUGUUCAAGGACACUAAUUUUUCUAAAUGUUUGGAAAUCACUUCCUAAAUUCUAUCAGUGCACAGUGAGUGAGGGUAGUUCGGAAAGUGGAGGCCAUAUACAGUUCGACUCUUUCCAGCUCCCAUCUUCCUUCUCCCCUCCCCCGGCCCCGCCCCCCAACCACGCCCCUGGGCUUCUUUGCAUGUAAACUCUGUCUGCCUGGAGAUGGAUGUGGCACAGAGCUAAGCCCCUGGAAGAUGUGCUCCAGGCCUCGGGAAACACAUACUCUAUGACAGAUGGCGGCAAAUUAAGCUGGCAAUUGAAAAAGCCAGAGCGUUUCCAGGACCUCUGUUAGAGGAGUGAUUCCAGAGGGGGAGAGGCAGAGAAGACAAAUUGCUGGAAAGUGGCCAGAACCAUUUGGUGCUCGACAUUAAUUUGGUCAGUAAACAAUUCCGGAACACCUAGAUAGAAGAAGCUAUUCUGGAUUCCAUAGGCACACACGAAGAUCGGAGAGACCAACAUUUCGUCCUGUAUUUGGGAAGAUGGACAGCACACGGAGAGGUGCAUGGACAAUUCUAGGCUGGCAGAAGUCUGAACAAGGGCUUGUGUAAGGCCAAAAACACCUGCGUUCUGGAAUCAGAGAUAAGACAUGUGAGUCAAGUUUUCUGGGAGGGAAAAGGAGUGAUUUAAAUUCUCACUGAUGUCUAAGCUGCUGAUAGAUUCUGUCCCCAAAGCAGGUUUCAACUUAGAGGAGGAGGCUGGACAGGGAGAGAGCAGGAGGGCGCUGAGCUGGCCCAUUGACCACAAAGGAAAGAGCAAUGGGUGGCAGGAAAGAAGGCCUGGGGGACCCAAAGGUGCAGUUUAUCUGCUGCUCCCCUAUUUUUGUCAUGGGCCCCAUCUGAUUCUGACAUUCAACACUAAGGGAUCUCCUAAUCGUUGAUUGCACAAACCUAAACAGUCAUUUACUGCAAGCAUUCUGGAACACCAGAAGGUUGCCGUUAUUUAUUUGGUUAAAUAAGAAUGUAAAACAUAAGCAAAUAGAACAAAAAUCCUACCACAUAAAAGAAAGGAUGUUUUAAUGGUAAAAAAUUGGGAAAGAAAAUCUCAGAUAAAGGACAGCACUUUAAAUGGAUGAAUAUAGAUUUAUAGGAAAAAAUGUCUAUUUCCUUUUUCUGUGGGCCCAAGAAAAUGCUGGCAGAGCCUGGGCUCUCCCCUACCACCUGGUUUAUGGGAAUCACAUUCACCGGGAUUCUGAACUCCCACCACAGUUUCCAGUUCAUGACCCUGUGCUGCCCUCUGGUGGCCAAAAGGAGUUGCUGUAACGGCUAAAGAGGGUCUCAAAAUAUUGGGCCUCCUGGCAUCUAUGUUUAUUUAACACCCACCAUGUGCUAAGGGUGAGGACACAUAGAAAUGAGGGAUCCCUUGCUAUCAAGGAGCUUUCCUAUAACACUGAUGUGUCAAACAAAAGUUAGCAAACAUGUUUGGGUUUUGGCUUUGAAAUCAACUGGCAACCACCAUUCCCCUGCCUGUCAGAGGCCCAGGCGGGCCACUGACAUCAGCAUUAUGGAAUGCAGGUAGUCUCUCAGCGUUAGAGCAGGCCUGUGACUUGGGUCCAGGUGCCACCUAGAGCUUUAUCUCCAGCCUUGCCCUGAGCCGGGGCUUGUGGGGACUGAUGAAGCUGGUAGGUGGUGGCGUAGAGCAGACCUGGCCCUACCGAUUCCCCACAGGGUGUUUCUGCUCUCAGCUCUUCCUACUUACUUGGCCACCCCUCGGUCAGGCAGGCCUGCUUUUGCAUGAAGUCCUUCCAUGCCUACCCUAAAUCCACAAUGACCUCUAUGACCUCAAGACUACUGUCUACCAUCAUUUUCUCUUACUUUAUUUUUCAAGUAGGUAAGAAAUUCCCUGAUGGUUGAGGCUCUGUUUUAACAGUUUUCUAUCCAUCUCCCCUUCUCAUAUUACCUCCAGAAGCUCUCAGUUUUCUCUCUUAUUAUGCAGAGAAGCUGCCUACUCCUUUCACAUAUUAGGGCUAUGCUUAGGCCUCAUCAAAAUAUUUUCUUAUCAAAAAUGGGAAGUAGUUAAGUCAGUUUAGGCUAAGUUAUUUGGCUGUAACAAACAAGCUGCAAGUCCACAUGGCCUAGAAUAACAAAGGUUUAAUUCUUCCUAAUGCUACAUGGCCAUGGGGAUCGCUUUGGGGGGUGGGGUUGCCAGAAGUAGGAAGGAAAAAUUCAAGACACCCUCAAAUACUCAAUUUUAUUUUUAGCAUACAUAUGCCCCCCAAAAUGCAUACUAAAAUUAUUAUUAUUAUUAUUUUCUGAACUUCAAAUUUAAUUGGAAAUCCUAUAAUUUAUCUGGCGUCUCUGCUUUACGACCUCAUUCUGGACCCAGAUUAAUGGUGCCUCUACUAUCUAAACAUCACAGAAAGAAAGGGGACGUGGCCAUUUACACACUGGCUCUCAAAGUUUUCUUUUGGAAUAUACAAACAUUUCCAAUGACAUUAUUAUUAUUAUUAUUAUUACUAUUAUUGGUCAAAGUGAGUCAUUUUGUCUUUCCCAACCUCAAAGGGGUGAGGAAGGGCAAUCCUGUUAUGUGCACAGAAUGAGAGAACUCCAGGCUAUUUGUGAAAAGUUCAAAUCCCUGCCCUAGUUACGUAUUCUGGUAAGAGCUACUAAGAAAAUACUACAUUCUCCAUCUCAUUACGAUAAAUUAUAUCAACUGUAAUAUUUAUCCUUGUGAUUUCUAUCUAAUGGCUUCCUAUUGAUUUCUAGUAAGCAGAGAAAGCUUUUCUUACCCAUUUAAAUAUGGGGAGAUAACUAAAUGCUCCCUGUCAACUUUUCUUCUCUGCAUUAAACACCUUCCCAUGCACCCCCUCCCCUACUUUCUUCCUAUGAUGUAACUUCCAACCCUUUACCAUCUGGUCACUAUCUACUUGGUUAUAUCUGACUGUUAUGUGAAUGUGAUGGGAAAAAAAAUAGAAAAGGGGGUUUCUUUUAGGGAUAAGUCAAAGAUGACUGUUUGUGUAACCCUUUAUCUUUGUUCACUGGCACCACCUACAAAAGAGCAGCAGUUUUUCAACCCUCGGCAACAACAGAAUCACCUGCAGAAACAAAGUGGUGAGGUCCAGGCUUCUCCACCAGCGACUCUGAUUCAACUGGCCUUGCCUGGGCCUGGGUAUCUGUACUGUUUUGCAGUUUUGUUAUCUAUAGCUACAUAACAAACCAACCCCAAAUUGAGGAACUUAAAGCAAAAAUAGUCAUUUUACUAUUAUCUUUCCUGGUCCUGGAGGCCGACUAGAAUCAAAUACAUAAAAAACAAAUGAACAUUUUAAGAGAAUUUUAUGGGCAAACACAAGCCACCAGCUUGGAGUAAAAGAGACUGAACCCAUUUGGUAUUUAAAGCAAACUUUGGCUCCCCCAAUAUUUUAUAGGUAGGGGGGAGGCUGAGGGCUCUGCUUAGCACCCAAGGAGACCAUAUUCCUUCUUAGAUUAGGCAAAGGAGGAUUGUGAAAAAGUGCACCUCUCAGUGGGCAGAACCAAGGACCACGGAGAAGAGUGGACUGGGGAGUUUCUGUUGGGGAAAAGAAUCGGGGUGCUAAAUGUGCCCCACCCUUAGGACAAGGGGCUGCUCACCAUACCUGCCCAGUGGGUCUUCAGAUUUACUGGGUGGGGGGGGUCAGUGACUGGUAAAUGACUUCCCAUGCAUCCACUUCCCAAUGGGAGUGUUAAUUGUGUCCCUGUCCCUAACUGAAUAUUGAGUUUGUGUGUGGGAGCAAGUGACUUAAUUUUUCAGGUGUCCCCCAUCUAAAGGAAGCAAGCACAUCCAAACCUUCUAUAGCGGUGCUUGUGCCUUAUGCACCAGUCCUGGACUUUGAGCUCAGAGCAGCACCUGCAGGGGAAUUGGGGUUUGUCUCCCUUGGGGAGGGAUAAGUGUCCUCUUAGAUGGGCAGGGGAGGGAAAUGCGUGUUUGGUGUGCAGAGUACAGACUAUGGUGGAUUAUGUUAAUAUUUACCAAAUAUUGUGGCACCUUUCUCUGCAGGGCCUCUCCCUGCGGUGGGAGGGCUCUACAUCCUGGUCCUUUUGUGUUCAGUGUUACAUUUGACUUGCUUUGACCAAUGACAUGUGAGUGUCAGAGGUGACAGGAGCCACUUUUGAGCAGAAGGGUUAAGAAUCAUGGUGUUCACCUUUCCCUCUGCGAUGACACCUGACAAUGUUCCAGAUAGAAGCUGCUUUCCCAUUCGCUGUGCUGGAAUAAAGAUGGCACAGAACAAAGCCACAGCCAGCCCAUAAUGAAUGCAGCAUAUGAAAAAUUAAACUUAUGUUGUAAGACCCUGGAUGAUAAUAUUAAUGGAGAGGGCUUGGGCACCCUGACAGCCCUGAUGAGCCUUGGGUCCCUCUUGCAUGAUGGCCUUUCAACCGCCCAAUUUUCUUGUCCUCUCUGAGGAAGACUCAUUCCCUUCACACUGAUGCCUGCCAUCAACAGUGGGUGAUAGAGAGCCUCCUGGAGAGUGCCAGUCUCCAGAGAGCCUCCUGUUGACAGUUUUCAUCUCUGUAGAGCAGAGAAUGUGGGAAGAUCUUUGGUAUUCUAGGUUCUGGGCUAAUGAAAGCUUGCUGGACAUAGUCAGGUAUUUCAAGAUGGUGGCCAUUCAGAGGGUCCUUUGGUCCUUACUUGCUGGGGUUUUCUGUUGCCCUGGUGACAUCUCAGUCUUGGCUUUCUCAUUACAUGAUGAAGACAUUGGUGGUGACAAUGGAAAGGAUGAGAAGAUGAAAGAGGUCAUACCAUACCUGGUUCUAUGCAGCAGAACUGAGGCUCAAGUAUUGAGCGCUGUGAUUUGCCUUUGUGCAGCCCUUUGUGUUGUGAGAUGACCAGAUGACAUAUUCGUAUAUUGAUGAUUUUGAAUGUGUGCAUGGCUGAGAUCAUACCAAUUAAUUUUCAUGCAGAAGUCAAGGUGCCAUUCACCUCCUCACCACCACCCCCUCUCAACUAGAACAGCAGCCAUAACCGAGGGUCAUUAAAUCUGGUUUUGACUCAGGGACAAGAUAGACCAGGCACUGGCCUACAAAUGUGGACACUAACAGCUCCUGAUAGAACCAGGGUGGAAACUGAGGUGGCAAGAAAGGAUGCUGGUGUCCGUAGGCUUCUGAAAGGCAUGUUCUCAGCUGCUGAUGCAAACACCGGGGUGUCAAUGUGUCCAUCAGGAGACACCUGGUACAGUGGGAAGAACAAAGAAUCUGGAGACUAAAGCACCCAGACUUACAUCCCAGCUGAAGGUGUGUGGCCACAUUAUUCCAUGUCUCUGAACUUCGCUUUCCUCCAGGGAUGUCUUACAGAUUUAAAGAGCUGAAUGCAUCUUCAGGGACACAGUGCCCUCAAUGACACCCUCUGUCUCCUGUACUUCAUCAGGACCCCAGUGACCUGAAAAGUCAGGCUCCAAGCUGUCCAAGGAAUCAAAGAAUUCUUGUGUGAUUGCAGGAGGAAAAAGAAUUUGAAACACAUUCUCUCCUAAUCCCUCUUCAUCUGAGCUAAUUUCCAAAUGGAAAAAGUAAUCAAUUGAAGUUAUAUAUAUAGCUUAUUCAAAGAGCUGAAUGAGUGGCUGGAAACAAUUCCCCAAACUAUGGUUUCCACUGAAUAAUUGAAAUUAUGCUGGGGCAUGGAAAUUUUUCAGCAAAUAAAAUAUGCCUGAAAAUCUAUUAAAGAUAUGUCUGCAAAAAUCAUUUGCAAAAGCCCAACUCAGCAAUAAAAAAUAAAUUACAUUUCUGUUCUUGCUGUUGUUCCCUUUGGGAAAGAGCAUAUUACUACUACUUUGUGGACAAAUGGAACCAGUGAAUUUUGGAAUGAAGAACUCUACAAGUUCUAACCAUGAGGUUUAGACAUUAGGUGAUAAUUCUACACUGAAAAGUAAACAGGGAAAAAUUUCCCUGAUUUAAUGUUGCUCAGGAGCAGAACAUGUGUGGAAGACACUAUUGCUGCCAACCAAUACUUCCUGCUUUCCUGCCUUUAGACAACCAGUAUGAUUUUACUUCCCCAGCCUCUGAAGACGGAUGUUCCAUGUGAUCUUUGUGGUCAAUGAAAUAAGAGAAUCUAUUGUAAGCCAAACAUCAAUCCCCGAAUCUAAAAUUUAGGACUGCACUUUAUGGAAAUUGAGCCUGUAUUGUUCUUCUCAACACCAGCCAAGAAUCUCCACACUGCAGAACAACCCAGGGGCUGAUCUGGCUUGCAAGAAUUCUUCCUCCUUAGAUGCCUGAGUUCUCCUUCUCCAGAGUUUGGCAAAAUCAGACAUGAGCCUAUAGAGAGACAUGUUGAAUGGCAAGUACAAGGGCCAGAGGAGGAUCUGGAUUGCCCUCUGCAGGCAGAUGGCCUCUCAGGUUUUCUACUGAAGCCUCAAAGCUGAAAACAACAUGACCUGAUUACUCCCACCACCUUUUUUGAAAUGUUUAUUUUAGAGAGAGAGACAGACACAGAGAGACAGAGAGACAGAGAGAGAGAGAGGGAGACACAGAAUCCGAAACAGGUUCCAGGCUCUGAGCUGUCAGCACAGAGCCUAACAACUCCCAGUCUUAAGUGCUCACCAAAGAGUUGUCAUAUGGAGGUGCCCCCAUGUAGCCCUCACAUAGCCCCAGUGUGGGACACCUGUCCCAUCAAGGCUGUUGCAUCAAGGCUAUUGCUGGUUAAAGGGGGACAGCAUGAGUUAUGUAAGAGGACCCCCUUCCCUCAUGGCUCUGCCCAGACCUCAGCUCUUAAGAAGCAAGAGAGACCAGGUACAGGGAGAUGGACAGUGGAGAAGAGGACUGAAGCUGUUUCUCUGUUUCUCUGUGGUCAGUUCUGACUGGGAGAAGGGGAAAACCUUUAUAUUUCAUGGGCAGGACUUCCUCUGUCCUUAAAGGAACCUAGAAGUGCGUACUUGUGGCUAAUGCAAGAAGGCACCCAUCAUCUCCCUACCAGCAUCGCCAACAUCACCACCAUCAGCAUCACCUUCACCACCAUCACCAUCAUAAGCAUAAGCAUCAUCACCACCACCACCACCACCACCACCAGCAUCUCCACCACUGUCACCAUCGUCAUCAUCGCCAAAAUCACCAGCAUCAUUACCAUUAUCACCAUCAUCUUUAUCUCAUCAUCAUCACCACCACCACUACCACCAUCAUCAUCAUCAUUGACAUCACCACCACAAUCACCAGCAUCAGCAUUAUCUUUACCAUUAUCACUAGCAUCAUCAUUGCUAUCACCACCACCAGCAUCACCUUCACCGUCACCAUCAUCAUCAUCAACAUCACAGCAUCAUCACCAUUAUCACCAUCAUCUUUAUCACCAGCAGCAGCAGCAGCAGCAGCAUCACUGCCAGCAUCAUCUCCACCACUUCAUCAUCAACAUCACCAGCAUUAUCUUCACCAUUAUCACUAUCAUCUUGAUCACUACCACCACCAUUAUCAUCAUUACCAUCAGCACCACUAUCAUCUUUCUCUUCCUCUCCUCCUCUUCCCACUGCUCCUCCUCCCCUUUUUCUACCCUCCUCCCCUUCCUUCUUCUCCUUCAUCAUUUUCAUCAUCAUUCUCAUUCUCAUUUCAACAUGCAGUGUUUAGAGAUAUGGGAGCUAUAUGGAUACUGAGGUACAUGAGAGCAGAAGAGAUGAUGUUAAAAAUUGGUGGAAUACAUUUAGGACUUUUUCCUGAAUUAUUUUAAUCUCUAGGGCUUAUUUAACUCCCUGAUGUGGAAACAUGACCUGUGAGACAAUCUUGAUGUAACAGCUUUUCUUUCAGUCUGAUAAAUUACAUUUUUUUUCCAAAAUAGCAUUAAUAAAGACAAGCCAGAGAUAGUAUUUUUUACUCAUCUGCCUUUAUAUUUGUCAAACUCACACCUGCUUAAUGUGUAAAGGUCAGGCUUUUAGACAGAAAUCUCACAUGGAUCUCCCUGAAUUAUGUAGAAGUUUACCUGGCUGGAUAAUUUGCAUGACUUUUUAUAGAAACUGUAGAGAACACGUUCCAAAUCAUAAUAUACACAUUGGUGUUUAUAUUUUCUCCUUUGAAGAGGGCAAUAACCCUGAGAAAGAUGUCAGUACUGAUACCACGGAGCAGACCCUGAGUAAGAGCACCUGGUGUCUCCAGUGAUUGAAAUGAUAUAUUAAUGAGUUCUUAUUCUCAGUGACAUUUUACCAGGAACCAAUUAACCACAGUAAUUACAUCUCAUCCAUUGCAUGCUCUGAAAUGUGAAGUGCAUGGGUAUUGGGUUGCUGUGUUUGUUGAGCAUUUUUUUCCCAUGUGACAAACCUUUAAGCAUUAAAACUUUGAGUCAUUUAUUAUGUUUCUUUUGCCUUCUGGGUGUCACAGCAUGAAGGAAAAUCUUGUAAAGGAUAGUUUUAUAACCACACAGAUACUGAUGCGUGUAAAUGAGUAUAGCCAAUGCUAGAAAGCCUCACCAUAGCUGUGCUUCAAAGGGUGGCAGAAAAUACAGUGGGGAGAGGGCACAUUGAUAAGAACAGAAAGAGUUAAACCUUCAUGGUAAAAACAGAUGGCUUAGGGAAUGAGAGAUUGAAUAAAGGGUCCUGAUUAGUUGACUCUUCUAGAUAAUGGGGUGAGUGCUGAUAAAUGCAAAACUUUUUUCAUUGUCAUUUCAAAACUGUUUAGAAAAAUUCAAAAAUAUCGCAGUUUGAAUUUCUAAAGUAAAUAACCUUUCUAUACUUCACUUCCCUCACUAUAAAAUUUGGAUAAUAAGUGUACUUGACUAAUAAGUUUGUUGUGAAGACAAGUAAGUUAAAAUAGGUACAAGUACUUAGCAUGUACUGAGUGUAUUGUAAAUGCUCAAUAAAUGCCAGUUAUUAUUUUA